rnacentral:rRNA from 1 species
UGGGGAAUCUUGGGCAAUGGGCGAAAGCCUGACCCAGCAAUACCGCGUGAGGGAUGAAGGCCUUCGGGUCGUAAACCUCUGUCAGCAGGAACGAUGGGUCUCCGUGCUAAUACCACGGAGACUUGACGGUACCUGCAAAGGAAGCCCCGGCUAACUCCGUGCCAGCAGCCGCGGUAAUACGGAGGGGGCAAGCGUUGCUCGGAAUUACUGGGCGUAAAGGGUCCGCAGGUGGCCUCGUAAGUUGAAUGUG